rnacentral:lncRNA from 1 species
CUGCUUUCAUGUGAAUCAUGUAUGUACAUCUCCUUGUUCAUUUUGGAUUCUUUCUGUCAGCUCCACUCUAUCUACCACCAAAGGAAUAUUCACAGGCUGAAAGACCUGGGGUAUGGUAGGCAGGAGAAAGUUCUAGAAAGGACUCAGUACUGGAUUUUGAGGCAGGCUGUCUUCAGUGAUGACAACAAGCUUGAAUACAAGAAUCAGUGAGCCUGGAAUGCAAAAGACAAAACCCACUGAAGUCAUUGGGAACAGAGAAACAUGUAAGCAGAGAAAGCUGGUCUACAGAGAAAAAUAAUUGAGUAAAGUUGCUGUGCAAAGAGAAGAAGAUCCACAGUGCAAUAUACCCCUGUGAAUUAUGAG